UACGUAGGGCGCAAGCGUUGUCCGGAAUUAUUGGGCGUAAAGAGCUCGUAGGCGGCCAGACAGGUCAGCUGUGAAAACUCGAGGCUCAACCUCGAGACGUCGGUUGAAACCGUCUGGCUAGAGUCCGGAAGAGGAGAGUGGAAUUCCCGGUGUAGCGGUGAAAUGCGCAGAUAUCGGGAAGAACACCCGUGGCGAAGGCGGCUCUCUGGGACGGUACUGACGCUGAGACGCGAAAGCGUGGGGAGCGAACAGG
rnacentral:rRNA from 1 species